GUAGGUGAACCUGCGGAAGGAUCAUUACCAAUCCAAAAAAAAAAACUUUAUCCACCCCCUUAUGUGCACCAAGAAUGGUUCCGUCCCCUGGAUACUGAGAGAGUGAGAGUGAGAGAGAGAGAGUGAGUGAGAAAAAAAAACUUUUUUUUUCUUUCUUUUCUUCCCUCCGUCUCUGUCUUUCUCGACAUUUCAUUCCAGGGGAUGUUCAUUUUUCAACACCUUUUUAACCCAUACCUCAUUUUUGCCAUGC
rnacentral:misc_RNA from 1 species